rnacentral:rRNA from 1 species
CCUACGGGGGGCGGCAGUGGGGAAUAUGCGCAAUGGGCGAAAGCCUGACGCAGCGACGCCUCGUGAGGGAUGAAGGUCUUCGGAUCGUAAACCUCUGUCAAGAGGGAAGAAACCCUUGGGUUCGAAUAGGGCCCUUGGCUGACGGUACCUCAAGGAAGCACCGGCUAACUCCGUGCCAGCAGCCGCGGUAAUACGGAGGGUGCAAGCGUUAAUCGGAAUCACUGGGCGUAAAGCGCUCGUAGGCUGUUUGGUAAGUCAGACGUGAAAGCCCUCGGCUCAACCGGGGAACUGCGUUGAUACUGCCAGACUUGAGUGUCGGAGAGGUGGCGGAAUUCCGGGUGUAGAGUGAAAUCCGUAGAUAUCCGGAGGAACACCGUGGCGAAGGCGGCCACCUGGACGACAACUGACGCUGAGGAGCGAAAGCGUGGGGAGCAAACAGAUUAGAUACCCUGGUAGUCCACGCGGUAAACGAUGGAUGCUGGGUGUGGUUUACCUUCG